GGGGAUUUAGCUCAGCGGUGCCGGCACCUGCCUCGCAAGCACAAGGUCUUGAGUUCAAUCCUCAGUACCCCCC
rnacentral:tRNA from 1 species